rnacentral:rRNA from 1 species
CCUAAGGCGAGGCCGACAGGCGUAGUCGAUGGACAACGGGUUGAUAUUCCCGUACCCGCUUUGGUUCGCCCAUGGCAAGGCCAGGAGUGCUAAGGGCCGUGAUCUGAUGAAGCCUUCGGGUGGAGUCGGGGAGCCGCCCGGCCCCUGCUGGUAGUAGCCAAGCGAUGGGAUGACGCAGGAAGGUAGUCCAGCCCAGGCGUUGGUUGUCCUGGGGUAAGGGUGUAGGGCGAGUCGUAGGUAAAUCCGCGGCUCAUGUGCCUGAGACCUGAUGCCGAGCCGAUCGAGGUGAAGUGGAUGAUCCUAUGCUGCCGAGAAAAGUCUCUAGCGAGAACCAUGGCGGCCCGUACCCCAAACCGACUCAGGUGGUCAGGUAGAGAAUACCAAGGCGAUCGAGCGAACUAUGGUUAAGGAACUCGGCAAAAUACCUCCGUAACUUCGGGAGAAGGAGGGCCGGUGGCUGUGACGGGACGUGCUCCCGGGAGCGGCUGCUGGUCGCAGAGACCAGCGAGAAGCGACUGUUUACUAAAAACACAGGUCCGUGCGAAGUCGCAAGACGAUGUAUACGGACUGACGCCUGCCCGGUGCUGGAACGUUAAGGGGACGGGUCAGCACGUAAGUGCGAAGCUCAGAACUCAAGCGCCAGUAAACGGCGGUGGUAACUAUAACCAUCCUAAGGUAGCGAAAUUCCUUGUCGGGUAAGUUCCGACCUGCACGAAUGGCGUAACGACUUCUCGACUGUCUCAACCAUAGGCUCGGCGAAAUUGCACUACGAGUAAAGAUGCUCGUUACGCGCGGCAGGACGGAAAGACCCCGGGACCUUCACUACAACUUGAUAUUGGUGUUCGGUUCGGCUUGUGUAGGAUAGGUGGGAGACUGUGAAGCUCGCACGCCAGUGCGGGUGGAGUCAACGUUGAAAUACCACUCUGGUCGAAUUGGAUGUCUAACCUCGGUCCGUGAUCCGGAUCAGGGACAGUGUCAGGCGGGUAGUUUAACUGGGGCGGUUGCCUCCCAAAAUGUAACGGAGGCGCCCAAAGGUUCCCUCAGCCUGGUUGGCAAUCAGGUGUCGAGUGCAAGUGCACAAGGGAGCUUGACUGUGAGACAGACAUGUCGAGCAGGGACGAAAGUCGGGACUAGUGAUCCGGCACUGGCUUGUGGAAGCGGUGUCGCUCAACGGAUAAAAGGUACCCCGGGGAUAACAGGCUGAUCUUGCCCAAGAGUCCAUAUCGACGGCAAGGUUUGGCACCUCGAUGUCGGCUCGUCGCAUCCUGGGGCUGGAGUAGGUCCCAAGGGUUGGGCUGUUCGCCCAUUAAAGCGGCACGCGAGCUGGGUUUAGAACGUCGUGAGACAGUUCGGUCCCUAUCCGCCGCGCGCGCAGGAGACUUGAGAAGAGCUGUCCCUAGUACGAGAGGACCGGGACGGACGAACCUCUGGUGUGACAGUUGUCCUGCCAAGGGCACCGCUGUUUAGCUACGUUCGGCAGGGAUAACCGCUGAAAGCAUCUAAGCGGGAAGCUCGCUUCAAGAUGAGGUCUCCCACAGGGUUAACCUGGUAAGGCCCCCCACGAGACCAUGGGGUUGAUAGGCCGGAAGUGGAAGCCGAGUAAUCGGUGCAGCUGACCGGUACUAAUAGGCCGAGGGCUUGAUCAC